rnacentral:rRNA from 1 species
UACAGAGGGUGCAAGCGAUAAUCGGAAUUACUGGGCGUAAAGCGCGCGUAGGUGGUUUGUUAAGUUGAAUGUGAAAUCCCCGGGCUCAACCUGGGAACUGCAUCCAAAACUGGCAAGCUAGAGUAGGGCAGAGGGUGGUGGAAUUUCCUGUGUAGCGGUGAAAUGCGUAGAUAUAGGAAGGAACACCAGUGGCGAAGACGACCACCUGGGCUCAUACUGACACUGAGGUGCGAAAGCGUGGGGAGCAAACAGG